GACGAACGCUGGCGGCGUGCUUAACACAUGCAAGUCGAACGGUAAGGCCCUUCGGGGUACACGAGUGGCGAACGGGUGAGUAACACGUGGGUGAUCUGCCCUGCACUUCGGGAUAAGCCUGGGAAACUGGGUCUAAUACCGGAUAGGACCACUGCCUGCAUGGGUGGUGGUGGAAAGCUUUUGCGGUGUGGGAUGGGCCCGCGGCCUAUCAGCGUGUUGGUGGGGUGAUGGCCUACCAAGGCGACGACGGGUAGCCGGCCUGGGAGGGUGACCGGCCACACUGGGACUGAGAUACGGCCCAGAAUCCUACGGGAGGCAGCAGUGGGGAAUAUUGCACAAUGGGCGCAAGCCGGAUGCAGCGACGCCGCGUGGGGGAUGACGGCCUUCGGGUUGUAAACCUCUUUCAGCACCGACGAAGCGCAAGUGACGGUAGGUGCAGAAGAAGGACCGGCCAACUACGUGCCAGCCGCCGCGGUAA
rnacentral:rRNA from 1 species